CUGCCCACCCACAGAGAGACGCAGCUCUUGCUCUGCACCUCUCCUCUUUGCACACCUCUGUGUCUGUGCUGGCACCAGGGGCAGGUGCCUGGAAGGAGGGGGCCUUUCUCCAUGGAUUUCCACCGGUUCCUUGUGGCCAUGCUGCUCCCUGUGGGCUGGGCCCUUCAGCAAUCACCAGAUACAGUUGUCCGGCUGGGAGACACCGUCACUCUGCAAUGUUCUGCAUCAGGGAAAACUUUUGUAAACAUGUACUGGUACAAGUUACCCAAGGAGAAGGAUGCCAGAAUGCAGCUGGUUGUGUAUUCAGUGGAAGGUGGCAAAGCAGAUAUUGAGAAGGAAUUCCAAAAUCGCUUCCAGAGUAAGGGGACUAGGAACAACCAUUUAGCUGUGCAGAUCCAGCAUGCCCUACUCAAUGACACAGGCACAUAUUUCUGUGCUGAACAAGAUCCACAGUGAGUCAAAGGCUGGUGCAGCACAGCACAAACCUUUCCAGGCAAACAGGGAUCUGCCACCAGCACACACUGAGCCUUGCGUUUGACACAGCCCCUUUUUCUUACUUGCCCCACAGCUCAUCAGGAAAAAAUUGGUUUGCUUCUCUGUCUGUACCGCUAUCUGCCCAUCUGUAUUUCUUUUGCUCUUCUCUUUUUUCCCAUCUCUGAAUGACUUUCUCACUCUCAAUUCUUCUUGUCCUCACUGUCUUGCCUCUGUUAUCUCCCAUUCAGAUUGUUUCUGUCUUUGCUCUUUUCAAGUCAUUCU